UACGUAGGGGGCGAGCGUUGUCCGGAUUCAUUGGGCGUAAAGCGCGCGUAGGCGGCUUCGCAAGUCGGCCGUGAAAUCUCCGGGCUCAGCUCGGAGGGGUCGGGCGAGACUGCGAGGCUCGAGGUGGGCAGAGGGCAGUGGAAUUCCGGGUGUAGUGGUGGAAUGCGUAGAGAUCCGGAGGAACACCAGCGGCGAAGGCGGCAUCCUGGACUGGUCCUGACACUCAUGAGCGAAAGCGUGGGGAGCGAUCCGG
rnacentral:rRNA from 1 species